ensembl:lncRNA
AUGGACGGGAUUACAGGUGCUGUAGAAUCUGACCCUGGUGCUGGCUCCUCUAAGCAAGUGACACUGGUAGAGGGUAAUGCAGUGUCCCUGUUGAAGCCAGCGCACGUUCACACAGCCUCCCACACAGAGGUGAAGGAAAUGAAGAGACCCUCUUCACAAGUAAUGUGUACAAGGUGGAAACUGACUCCGUCUGGACUGCACAUUAAUGGAGCUGGACUGUAAGCUGAGGAGCCUCCAAAUAAAAUAAAUAAAUUGGAGGUCA